ACGGCGCGUGCUUANCUGCNGUCUUACGACAAGCUUCCUUCGGGGAGUGAGUAAAGUGGCGCACGGGUGAGUAACGCGUGGGUAACCUGCCCCAGAGCUGGGGAUAACUCGCCGAAAGGCGUGCUAAUACCCGAUACGUUUCCUUCUUCCUCGGAAGUUGGAAAGAAAGGUGGCCUCUCGAAGAAGCUGUCGCUCAGGGAUGGGCCCGCGUACCAUUAGCUUGUUGGUAGGGUAAUGGCCUACCAAGGCUGCGAUGGUUAGCUGGUCUGAGAGGAUGAUCAGCCACACUGGAACUGAGACACGGUCCAGACUCCUACGGGAGGCAGCAGUGGGGAAUAUUGCGCAAUGGGGGAAACCCUGACGCAGCAACGCCGCGUGAGUGAAGAAGGCCUUCGGGUUGUAAAGCUCUGUCAGGUGGGAAGAAAGGUUAGGGAUUAAUAGUCCCUGGUUUUGACGGUACCACCAGAGGAAGCACCGGCUAACUCCGUGCCAGCAGCCGCGGUAAUACGGGGGGUGCGAGCGUUGUUCGGAAUUACUGGGCGUAAAGCGCGUGUAGGCGGUGGAUCAAGUCAGGUGUGAAAGCCCUCG
rnacentral:rRNA from 1 species